CCCACCCACGGAGGGGGGCACCCGCCUGCGGGGCCGUUUCCGAGGGCUGCAGGCAGAUGGUGCGGGUGUGCGUGUGCUCGGGGCCUCGGACCAGCCCUGCUCCCGGGCCCAGCCGCAACAGGAGAAUGGGGACAUGAGGACAGCAGGGAGCCCGGGGCCCGGGCUCUCGAGAAGGACGCUGGCAGCACCAGCCGGCUGUGGCCCAUCCCACAGCAGGGUCUGCCUCUGCCAACUUGAGCAGAGAACACGCACUUCUCAGGGUCGGCAAGUCUACUCUCGGGUUCACUGAGACAGAAACGCUGCAGGGGCACGCGGGCUUGUGACAAAAGGAAAGCCGGCACCAGGCAGGACUCCCAAGACCUCAGGGGCAGCCCAGAAACACAGGCACCAGGCAGAGAAAUCUACGGGGCACCACCUCCAAGGUCUGUAAGCACAGCAGGGCAGGAGAAGACCGGGCGGCCCUAACGGAACCUCGCCACCCUCCCAGAAGCCCGGGCAGGCAGAGUGAGGAAGCAGAACUGGGCCCCAGAGGUAUGGCCGCUUGGUCCACAGACCUCUCGGCAAAGGUCGUGGAACGGGCACAAUGGAGGAGACAGACCGGACAAGUGCCGUCCGGGAGCUGGGGUGCGGAGGCGAGUCCGCGGGCCCGGCCCAGGGUGAAGCCGUAGCAGUACCCUCCACAGCCAACCCGGAGCUUGAACUCGUGACCCCAACACUGGGGGUCACACACUCUUCCCACGGAGCCGACCUGGGGUACCAACCUCGUGAGGUUCACAAGUGAAGAGUCCGCACCGGCGCCGGCAGCUGCGGGACAGAGAACCGGGCCCCGCGCGGCGCUCCAGGCCCCGAGCUCGAGCCCCGCACAAGCAAACCACCGCUGUGUGCAGGAAGCUCCUGGGCCGCGCUCACGCCCAGACAGGAGCACAGAAGCUACAUAAAGGCUGAGCCAACCAAGCCCGACGUGCCCAGAAAGAGAUGACACACAAACACAGCGCGGGCGAGCACUCCGGAACCCCGAGUUCAUCACCGGGAGCCGGCAGAGCGGCGCCCGAGCGGCGGGGUCGGCUGAGCGGCUGCCUCCGGCGCGGGUCCUGACCCGGGCUCCCGCACCGGGCUCCCGCACCGGGCUUCCUCCUCUGCGGGGCGCCUGCUUAUUGCUUCUCCCGCUCCCUCCAUCCCUGACUUGGCUCCUUCUCCCUCUCACAUCAAUAAACUCUUUAAAA